rnacentral:rRNA from 1 species
GAUGAACGCUGGCGGCGUGCCUAAUACAUGCAAGUCGAGCGAACGGACGAGAAGCUUGCUUCUCUGAUGUUAGCGGCGGACGGGUGAGUAACACGUGGAUAACCUACCUAUAAGACUGGGAUAACUUCGGGAAACCGGAGCUAAUACCGGAUAAUAUUUUGAACCGCAUUGUUCAAAAGUUAAUGACGGUCUUGCUGUCACUUAUAGCUGGAUCCGCGCUGCAUUAGCUAGUUGGUAAGGUAACGGCUUACCAAGGCAACGAUGCAUAGCCGACCUGAGAGGGUGAUCGGCCACACUGGAACUGAGACACGGUCCAGACUCCUACGGGAGGCAGCAGUAGGGAAUCUUCCGCAAUGGGCGAAAGCAUGACGGAGCAACGCCGCGUGAGUGAUGAAGGUCUUCGGAUCGUAAAAAUCUGUUAUUAGGGAAGAACAUAUGUGUAAGUAACUGUGCACAUAGUGACGGUAACUAAUCAGAAAGCAACGGCUAACUACGUG